AGAAUCAACGCUGGCGGCGCGCCUAACACAUGCAAGUCGAACGAGAAAGUGGAGCAAUCCAUGAGUAAAGUGGCGACCGGGUGAGUAACACGUGACUAACCUACCCUAGAGUGGGGAAUAACUUCGGGAAACCGAGGCUAAUACCGCAUAACAUCGCAGAGGGAAGCUCUUUGCGAUCAAAGGAGCAAUUCGCUCAAGGAGGGGGUCGCGGCUGAUUAGUUAGUUGGUGAGGUAACGGCUCACCAAGACAAAGAUCAGUAUCCGGCCUGAGAGGGCGCACGGACACACUGGAACUGAAACACGGUCCAGACUCCUACGGGAGGCAGCAGUGGGGAAUUUUGCGCAAUGGGGGAAACCCUGACGCAGCAACGCCGCGUGGAGGAUGAAGUCCCUUGGGAUGUAAACUCCUUUCGAUCGGGACGAUUAUGACGGUACCGGAAGAAGAAGCACCGGCUAACUCUGUGCCAGCAGCCGCGGUAA
rnacentral:rRNA from 1 species